rnacentral:lncRNA from 12 species
GUGAAAAGUUUCUUUGAUAGUUGCUAUUUUUCUUUUAUUUCUUACUUUCUCUUUGGGUUGCAGUUUCAGAAGUAUAAUCCACGAUUAAUAAGGAAGUAGAGGAAAUAAACUUUCUGGGAUUGUAAAUCAUUUUUUACUAAUACUAGUCUAAUCCUAUAAUAGAAAUAACGUUAAGUAUAUGCUAUAUAUGCAGUCAUUGAGUGACCUAAGAAAAUGUAGAUAGAAAUUCUCAUUUAACAGUUUUGACAAUUCAUUUGCAUUUAACUCAAAUCUUUGUACAACUUGUUUUUGUAGGAGUAAAGACUGUUUUUUUUUCCUGAUUAUUAGUUUUUUAAUACAUGCAGAGGAAUAUUACCAGUAAGAGCUUCCUUUCAACUCCUUAUGCUGGAGGUAUCAUGCAUCAAUAAUUUCAUAUUUGUUUCUAUGAAAACCAAGGAGAUUGGAACGUGUAAAGAUAAAGUACGUAGAAAUUAAUACAACAUUUCAUAUUCACAUUUACCAACAGACUUUUUGGCUUUACUCCUAAUUAAAUUCCUUUCAGUAAACAUCUAAUGGGCCCCUGCAAGGUACUGAAUAAUACAAUGAAACAUUCUUAUUACUUAGAGAUGUAGGUUGUAGACUCAUUGAAAUGGUCUCUCUUGGAGUUAUAUGUGACAUCAAAUAGCCGUGCUGAUUUGUUUUUUAUUGGAUUACUGGUUGCUUGGUAUUAUUAAAUAGCAAGGAAAUGAUUCUCUACUGAAGACCAGUGUGAUACCCUCUGACACAAUGGAAAAAAUGUAACUUUGUAGUAAUGUUGAUCUACCCCUAAGGAGGCUUUAGAUAUUUUUAUUUUUCCUGUGAUAUUAAGCAUGUGAAAUUAUAGUUUGAAACUUGGAGGAUAAGUUACAUAUGAUUUUUGAAGGUUGUCGUUUUCGUCUUCAAGUGUUUUUCACCUAUUUUCUUCUAUUUCAGGAGGAACUAGA